GAUGAACGCUGGCGGCGUGCCUAAUACAUGCCAGUCGAGCGAACAGACGAGGAGCUUGCUCCUCUGACGUUAGCGGCGGACGGGUGAGUAACACGUGGAUAACCUACCUAUAAGACUGGGAUAACUUCGGGAAACCGGAGCUAAUACCGGAUAAUAUAUUGAACCGCAUGGUUCAAUAGUGAAAGACGGUUAUGCUGUCACUUAUAGAUGGAUCCGCGCCGCAUUAGCUAGUUGGUAAGGUAACGGCUUACCAAGGCAACGAUGCGCAGCCGACCUGAGAGGGUGAUCGGCCACACUGGAACUGAGACACGGUCCAGACUCCUACGGGAGGCAGCAGUAGGGAAUCUUCCGCAAUGGGCGAAAGCCUGACGGAGCAACGCCGCGUGAGUGAUGAAGGUCUUCGGAUCGUAAAACUCUGUUAUUAGGGAAGAACAAAUGUGUAAGUAACUAUGCACGUCUUGACGGUACCUAAUCAGAAAGCCACGGCUAACUACGU
rnacentral:rRNA from 1 species